GCUCAGGAUGAACGCUAGCUACAGGCUUAACACAUGCAAGUCGAGGGGUAGCAGGGUAGCAAUACCGCUGACGACCGGCGCACGGGUGAGUAACACGUAUCCAACCCUCCCAUAACUCAGGGAUAGCCUUUCGAAAGAAAGAUUAAUACCUGAUAGUACUUAAGAAAGGCAUCUUUUUUAAGUUAAAGAUUUAUUGGUUAUGGAUGGGGAUGCGUUCCAUUAGAUAGUUGGUGAAGUAACGGCUCACCAAGUCUUCGAUGGAUAGGGGUUCUGAGAGGAAGGUCCCCCACAUUGGUACUGAGACACGGACCAAACUCCUACGGGAGGCAGCAGUGAGGAAUAUUGGUCAAUGGGCGAGAGCCUGAACCAGCCAAGUAGCGUGAA
rnacentral:rRNA from 1 species